UACGUAGGGUGCGAGCGUUAAUCGGAAUUACUGGGCGUAAAGCGUGCGCAGGCGGUUAUGUAAGACAGAUGUGAAAUCCCCGGGCUCAACCUGGGACCUGCAUUUGUGACUGCAUAGCUAGAGUACGGUAGAGGGGGAUGGAAUUCCGCGUGUAGCAGUGAAAUGCGUAGAUAUGCGGAGGAACACCGAUGGCGAAGGCAGUCCCCUGGACCUGUACUGACGCUCAUGCACGAAAGCGUGGGGAGCAAACAGG
rnacentral:rRNA from 1 species